AUCAAGAAGAGUCUACCACACAACACUCUUAUGUCAGCAGAGCAGUGUCCAGUAGAGCAAGAAGACGACAAUCUCAAGAGUUUCCUGCAGCACAGUGAGCUGUUCCCUAUAAUUUCUUACCAAAGAGAAGUGGAUUCCCCAUUCUGAGGACCUCAGGAAUAAGACCAGCCAGGAGAACAUAGAAGGAUAGAGGAAAAUUGCUUCCUCCCCUACAACUGGCGAUGAAAACGGGAUGCAACUUUACUGGCUGGACACUACUUGCUCCAAGGCUGCUGCAGUUAAGAGAUCCAGGGACAUCUGACAAAAGCAGAAGGAUUCCACCAUGCUCAGAAGUUCAUUAACUGCAUUAAUUCCAGUCUGUGGACCUGGACGUGGGAGGAGGUGGAGAAAUGACAAAAGGAGCUAUAGCUACGGUACCGUUCACUACAUGGAGAAUCAAGCAAAUGGAAGAAACAUUUCCCACAGUUAAUGUUUAGUGAGCCAGAGCCAUUUUUUCAAUGCAUUAAAAGUUAAAGUUAGGGCUUCCCUGGUGGUGCAGUGGUUGAGA